rnacentral:rRNA from 1 species
GAUGAACGCUGGCGGCGUGCCUAACACAUGCAAGUCGAACGAGAAUCGACGGAUUGCGGCUUCGGCCAAAUGAAGUUGAGGAAAGUGGCGAACGGGUGAGUAACGCGUGAGAAACCUGCCUUUCAGUGGGGGACAACAGUUGGAAACGACUGCUAAUACCGCAUAACGUAUCGAGGGGGCAUCCUCUUGAUACCAAAGCUUUAUGUGCUGAAAGAUGGUCUCGCGUCUGAUUAGCUUGUUGGCGGGUAACGGCCCACCAAGGCGACGAUCAGUAGCCGGUCUGAGAGGACGAUCAGCCAGCUGGAACUGAGACACGGUCCAGACUCCUACGGGAGCAGCAGCUAAGAUAUUGGGCAAUGGAGGAAACUCUGACCCAGCCAUGCCGCGUGAGUGAAGACGGCCUCGGUGUAAG